rnacentral:lncRNA from 1 species
GUCGUCGUCGUCGUCGUCGUGGCGGUUUCAUCCGGGAGGUCGUCGAGCUCCGCGUUGUCUUCCUGGCAGUAGAGAGGGUCGAGGAGGAGGAGGAGGAGAGAGGAGGGGGCCAUGUCGUCGCAGCUGGUCUUCUUCGUCUUCUUCGGAGGUGAAGAAGAGGCGGUGGGUUUUGCUCAUGAUACGAAGGGGUUGUAGCAAUGGCGGAGUGUAGAAGAAGAAGAAGAAGAAGAAGAAGAAGAAGAAGGAACGAAGAAGAGGGAGUUGGCUCCCCUCAUCUCUUUUUCUCUGUCUCUUUGUUCUCUGUCGCCCUUUUUAUCUCUCCUCCUCUUUCUCUCUCAUAAUUUGGGGUGUGUUUUUUUUUAUAUAUAAAAAAAAAAUUUCUUUUCUCUUUUGGUGUGCUUACUGCUGCUGCCGGCUGGAUGGCAAUGGGGCGUGGCAGGCAGGGAAGACUGAAAUAAGAAGGGAAAGGAAGGGCGGGGGAUUAAUUGGGGGCUUUGCUUGCCUUGUCUUGUUGCUAUUCACCACGCCACAAUUUCUACCUUUUUUUUUUUUUCGCUUUCCACUUUUAAAUAAUGUAGAUAUAAAAAUAUACCGAAUUUAUUUAUGUAAAUUAUAAAUUAUUUUUGAUUAUUUAAUUUUUUUUAUAUUUUAAUUUUGCUAUUUUAACUUUUAAUUAACUGUACUUUAAUUUUAAAAUUUAAACUAAUUAUUUAACUUAAUUUAUAGUUGUGAGAAUUAUACAAAGUAUACUAACUAAAUCUAUAAUUUUUUUAGGGGCAAUUGCUUUCAUACUAUUUAAAAGUACCUGACUUUUUGAUUUACCUUUCUUAUAAAAGGCUAAUAUUGAAAAUAUCUUUUUUAUAUUCCAACCUAUUUUAAAUAUAGCACUAGAAUUAAAUUCUGUUAAUGAACUGUUAGUAAUAACUGUUAUCUGCAUGAAAUUAUUAUUUUGUCAUUUCAAAUAUCCUUCCAUCAUCACUGACUUUUUCUUAUUUGCUCUUAAGUUAAGGAUAGAAAAAAUAUUUUAAUUUUUGAUCUUUUCAAAUAUAUUCUUCUACCAUCACCAAUAUUUCUUAUUUGCCCUUAAGUUAAGAAAAAAAGAGGUAUUUUGAUUUUUUUUUUUUAACUUUAGUAGAUAUUUAAUUUAUAUUUAACCCAAGUUAAUUUAACGGGUGGUGACUACAGAAGUAUUUUGGAAUAACGAAGAUACAUAUGAGGGUAUAUUGAAAAGAAAAAAAAGAAGAAUAAAUAAGAUAUUUCGAAAGCUUUCAGGAGUGUAUAGGCAAUUAUCUCUUUUCCUUAAUACAAACGAUGUAUUUAAAUUUUAAAAUCAAAAUAAUACUAAUCGUCUAAAAUUAAAAAAAUUGAAAAAUUUGCUAGUAAAAUUAAAAUUUUGAAAUAAUGAGUAGUUAAUUAAGAAUGAUUCAUAAUUUAAAUAAGUUAUGUACGUUUUUAU